rnacentral:lncRNA from 1 species
GGUUCCUACCUGGUAGCUGCUGAGGUCGUGGUUGUGGCGCUCCUCGAUGUCGCUGAGCUGCCGCUCCAGGGACUCCUUGGUGCCGCGCACCGACUCUAGCUCGAUGCUCUUGGACUGCAGCUGGCGCCGGUACUCGGCGAUCUCUUCCUUGGCGGAGCGGAUGGCCUCCUUGUUCUGCUCGGCCGCCUCGGUGAGCUUGGCGUAGCGGCAUUUGAACCACUCUUCGGCCUGGUGCAUAUUCUGGUCUGAGUGGCUUUCGAGCUGGGAGCGGAUUUCCUUCAGCGCCGUCGAGAUGUCUGUCUUCAGGUAGUCUUUGCGCUCCACCGUGAUGUGCGAUGCCUGGAUCUGGGCCAGAAGGUCGGCCACCUCCUCCUCGUGGUUGCUCCGCAGGAAGGCCACCUCAUCCUGCAGCGACUGCACCUUCUUGUCCAGCUCCACCUUGACCAGCGACGCCUCCUCGAUGUCUUUGCGCAGCGCGCGGAUGGCCGCCUCAGUGUCGUCGCGCAACCGCGCCUCCUCCUCAAAGCGCUCCUUGAGCCGGUGGAUGUCUUCCUCCAGGUGGUCCGAGUCCAGCUGCACCUGAGCCUUCUCGUGGUUCACCAUCUCCAGGGUGGCGCGCAGCUCGCGGAUCUCCUGGUCGUACGCGUCGCCCAGCUGGGCGUGCGAGGCCUGCUUCUGCCGCAGCGCCUGGAUCUCCGCCUCAAUCUCCUUAUUCUGCUGCUCCAGGUAGUGCACCUUCUCUAUGUAGCCGGCAAAGCGGUCGUUCAGCCCCUGCAGCUGCUCCUUCUCGUUGGAGCGGGACAGCUUGUAGUCGCCGCCGGGUCCGGAGCCGCCGUUGAGCAGGGACGAGGACUGGCUGAAGUCAAGGCUGCUCUCGGCGGAGCUGAGCAUGGCCGAGCUGUAAGCGAGGCGCGGGGCGAGCAUGCUGCGCUUAUAGGAGGAGGACACGGUGCUGGGCGAGCCGCGGGACCACGACUGCGAGCGGAAGCCACUGGACGGGGAGCCGCUGACGCGGCUGAAGCUCGAGCGGGUCUCGGUUACCCGCCGGUAGGCGGACGGGUUGCCCAGCGAGUCCAACGUGUAGCUCAUCUUGGAGGCCUUGGGGCGUGUGGCUGUCACAGCGUUCUGCCGGCCUCGCCGCAGCCCAUUUAUAGCCGCGGCGCUGGUCCCGGGCCAGGGCCCCGCCCCGUGGAGGCGGCGGCCGAGGAGGCGGGGACUGCGGGCACCGGUCGGGGAGGAGGGGAGGGGGGCGGCUGAACGGUGAUUCAGCGCCCGCUCCACGUGGGCCCAGGCCGCAUGGGAACCUGGACUUUUCUGCCCUGGGCCCAGCCCCUCCCCCAGGUCCCCUUUCAGUCCCAGGCUACUUGUAGCCGGGCAUUCGCCUUCUUUCCAUUUCUCACCUCCCGAUUGCGUUUCGCACCCUUGGUGCGAAUAUCGCCAGCGCCCUUUCUUUGUCACUGUCCCGCCGUUCAGGCAGCGCUUCCCCGACCCCGUGGUCCCCUUGUUCUUUAGCCUUCUACCCUCUUAUCCUCAAGGCUUUCUCUUAUUUUGCCCUUUCCCUGAUACUUUUUUCUUUACCCAUCUUCUGUGCUUAAUUUCAUCCCCUUCUUUUUUGGCCCCUCUUCUCCUUCCUACUCUGGCCUUUAGUCCAGUUCACCCUGCCCUUCUCUCAGCCCCUUCCUCGGAGAUCCUUUUCUUCCAAUCUUUCCUUCUCCCCGUCUCCUCCCUCCUUCCCCUUGCAUUCCCUCUUUUCCCCUCCCCCACCCUCAUCUUUUCUUGCCUCCCUCCCCUUCCCCCACCCCUUGUCUUAAAGCAGCUGGAGAUGAGCGCCGAGGAGCUGGGUCUAGAAGACAAAACAAAACAAAAAAAAAGACUUUGCGGAACGGUCUGCCUGAAGGCUUCGGGAAGGGGACAAAGAGAACAGGCCGGGGUAGUUAUUUGUAUAAAAAGUGGGAUAUGGCGUUUUUAACGUUUGGGGGACGUCCGCAGCUUCCGCAGGGGCAGAAGAUAAAGAGACUGAGCCUCAGAGACCCU